UCCUUCCUGCUGCCGCAACGAGAUUGGUCCAAAACCACAAACCUACUCGAUUAUACUCUUCAACUAAUUAAAAUUAUAAAAUUGAUGGUCUCCUCCGUACCGUAAUGGCAAUCAUUCAUCCAGCCAUGUGGGGUGACGCCGACGCGCGCGUCGCCGGCCGUGUCGAUGGAGCUGGUAUGAUCAUUUCCUUUUUGUACGCAUCAUGGCUGAGUCUCCCCUCAGAGCCGGUCUCGCUCCGACAUCGUCGUUGCUACCUUCUCUUCUCUUCUCCUCUCCUUCCUCCUCCGUUACCAUAUAAGGCUUACUUGUGAGGUGGUCUCAAGUAGUUGCCAAAGAAAAGUUACUCGCGAAUGGCGAUGCCACGGGAGACGGCGGUGUCUAUCGCGCACAACGUGUUCCUGCUGCUCGACGGCUGGGUCUGGACGUGCAUCCUCGCUGCCGACGAGGCCGCGCGCCUCCUCCGAUCCGCCACUCACUAAUCGUUCAACUAUCAAGGGCUUGUCAAGCAUGUGGAUAGCAGCGGUAGAGAUUGACGCCCAGUAGAUGUUUUCUAUUUCUCCGAUACAUGUAAAUUCUGAAACUGCUUAUACAUCUUUUCCUCUUCAUUUUUCCACUGAAAAAAUGGAGAUUACUGCGCAUUAUUUGACGGGAAAAAUAUUAACUGUCAAUAAUGUUGUACAUGCUUAUACUAUCCGCACCAUAUGUAUACCAGUUGUUCAUUUCUCAAACAUGAAUUGGCUGCAUUUGUUUGUGCAACCAAUAAAUCCCUCACUGUGCAGCAAUAUAGAUGCUCGACCAAAAUCAGGAAUUCCUUUGCAAAGAACAA